AUGAUUCGUGGGACGUCCUGCCGGUGGUGGCGAGUCGAAGGUGCGCACCCGUCGUGGUUUCCACUUCGGUUCUUGCGCGCCCGAGGCGGACCCCGAUGAAAUCCUACCGCGGUGCUCUUCGCCGAGUGUCGAGGUGGGCCGGCACGUUUACUUUGAACAAAUUAGAGUGCUUAAAGCAGGCCUGUUGCGCCUGAAUACUGUGUGCAUGGAAUAAUGGAAUAGGACCUCGGUUCUAUUUUGUUGGUUUUCGGAACCCGAGGUAAUGAUUAAUAGGGACAGGCGGGGGCAUUCGUAUUGCGACGUUAGAGGUGAAAUUCUUGGAUCGUCGCAAGACGGACCGAAGCGAAAGCAUUUGCCAAGUAUGUUUUCAUUAAUCAAGAACGAAAGUUAGAGGUUCGAAGGCGAUCAGAUACCGCCCUAGUUCUAACCAUAAACGAUGCCAGCUAGCGAUCCGCCGAAGUUCCUCCGAUGACUCGGCGGGCAGCUCCCGGGAAACCAAAGCUUUUGGGUUCCGGGGGAAGUAUGGUUGCAAGCUGAAACUUAAAGGAAUUGACGGAAGG
rnacentral:rRNA from 1 species